UACGUAGGGGGCAAGCGUUGUCCGGAAUUAUUGGGCGUAAAGAGCGCGUAGGCGGUCCGAUAAGUCGGUUGUGAAAGUCAGGGGCUCAACCCUUGAAAGCCGGCCGAUACUGUCGGACUAGAGUCCGGAAGAGGCAAGUGGAAUUCCCGGUGUAGCGGUGAAAUGCGCAGAUAUCGGGAGGAACACCAAUGGCGAAGGCAGCUUGCUGGGACGGUACUGACGCUGAGACGCGAAAGCGUGGGGAGCGAACAGG
rnacentral:rRNA from 1 species